CAUAGUUUUUUGAUAAUAAUUUAAAAUAAGAUCUGCUCCAUGAAUUUUAAAUAGCUGCAGUAUUUUGACUGUACAAAGGUAGCAUAAUCAAUAGUUUUUUUAUUGAAAACUGGAAUGAAUGAUUUAAUGAAAAAUUUUCUUUCUUUAUUGAAUAAAUUAAAUUUUAUUUUUAAGUGAAAAAGCUUGAAUAUUUAAAUUAGACGAGAAGACCCUAUAGAUUUUUAUUUAAUUUAUGAUUAAAAGAAUUGUUUAAAAUGAUUUAAAUUUAAUUGGGGAGGUGAAUAAAUUUAGUAAACUUUAUUUUUAAAGAUCAUUAAUUUAUGAAUAAAAAAUUUAUUUAGAUUAAAAUAAGUGUAAAUACCUUAGGGAUAACAGCAUAAUUUUUUUUGAAAGUUCUUAUUGAAAAAAAAGAUUAUGACCUCGAUGUUGGAUUAAGUUUAAUAAUUAAUGUAUGUAUUAAUAUAUUUAGUCUGUUCGACUAUUAAAAAC
rnacentral:rRNA from 1 species